rnacentral:rRNA from 1 species
UACGUAGGUGGCAAGCGUUGUCCGGAUUUAUUGGGUUUAAAGGGUGCGUAGGCGGUUCUAUAAGUCAGUGGUGAAAUCCGGCAGCUCAACUGUCGAUGUGCCAUUGAUACUGCAGAACUUGAGUACAGACGAGGUAGGCGGAAUUGACGGUGUAGCGGUGAAAUGCUUAGAUAUCGUCAAGAACACCGAUAGCGAAGGCAGCUUACUAGACUGUAACUGACGCUGAUGCACGAAAGUAGU